AGAGGAGUUGUGAUUUUCAGUCAAUCCUUCGUCCUUACUCUGCAACUUCGUCUUUCUCCUUUUCGUUCUCACCAACGCCAGUGUGUCUGUCGUCGCUCCUUCUGCCACUGAUCAACCAACGCGUGGUCUCUUUUCCUUCCCUGUUUCUGAUCGACGCAGCUUUCUUCCUUCACCGUUCGUGUAGCUAUGUGGACACGGUGUCUUUUUCCCCCUCCUCCCCUGUUGUGUGUCGUGCCAGAAUCCUCUCCUCUGUACAGCCAUAAACUUCGACUCCUCCUUCCCUUUUCUUCAUCAUUCAUGCUUUAAGGUGAGGAAGCCUCAAGUCUUAAUUUUCUCUUGCUCUGCGUAUAUGUGACUUGAUGAUUGAAGUUGCAAAGAUUUGUCUCCUCCAUUGUUGCUGUCCGUGUGGCCAUAUGGGGGUGUAUGGGAGAAGGAAGCUUGAUUUAAAUUGAAAUUUGUUGUUGCAGAAGGAAGCAGAUGAUGGUGCGGAGUUGAGUUUUUAACUGUAAAUGAUUGGAUUAUUGGUAUUGUAAGGUUUCAAGGAAGCUAAAAUUUAAGAGGAAAUGUUAACAUUAGCUUGAUAAUUGAUGCCCAUGAAGUGUUCAAUAAAAUGUUUAGGACAAUUUUA